UACAGAGGGGGCAAGCGUUGUUUCGGAAUUACUGGGCGUAAAGGGCGCGUAGGCGGCCUUCUAAGUCGAACGUGAAAUCCCUGGCUCAACCCAGGAACUGCGUCCGAUACUGGAAGGCUUGAAUCCGGGAGAGGGAUGUGGAAUUCCAGUGAUGUGAGCGGUGAAAUGCGUAGAUAUCUGGAGGAACACCGGUGGCGAAGGCGGCAUCCUGGACCGGUAUUGACGCUGAUGCGCGAAAGCCAGGGGAGCAAACGGG
rnacentral:rRNA from 1 species